rnacentral:rRNA from 1 species
UACGGGGGGGGGCAAGCGUUGUUCGGAAUUACUGGGCGUAAAGGGCGCGUAGGCGGUUCGAUAAGUCAGCUGUGAAAACCAUGGGCUUAACUCAUGGCCUGCAGUUGAGACUGUCGGGCUGGAGUGUGGGAGAGGAGAGUGGAAUUCCUGGUGUAGCGGUGAAAUGCGCAGAUAGUCGGGAGGAACACCUAUGGCGAAGGCAGCUCGCUGGGACGUUACUGACGCUGAGACGCGGAAAGCGUGGGGAGCAAACAGG